UCGAGAAUCUUCGGCAAUGGACGAAAGUCUGACCGAGCGACGCCGCGUGCGGGAUGAAGGCCUUCGGGUUGUAAACCGCUGUCAGUUGGGAGGAAGGGUCUGUGCAGAGCAGACCUUGACCGAUCUUCAGAGGAAGGACGGGCUAAGUUCGUGCCAGCAGCCGCGGUAAGACGAACCGUCCAAACGUUAUUCGGUAUCACUGGGCUUAAAGCGUGCGUAGGCGGCCCUGAAGGUGUGAUGUGAAAGCCCACGGCUCAACCGUGGAAUUGCGUCGCAAACCACAGGGCUCGAGGGAGACAGGGGUGUUGGGAACUUAUGGUGGAGCGGUGAAAUGCGUUGAUAUCAUAGGGAACACCGGUGGCGAAGGCGCAACACUGGGUCUUUUCUGACGCUGAGGCACGAAAGCUAGGGUAGCGAACG
rnacentral:rRNA from 1 species